GUAGUUUUACGUUAACUUUACAGUUGUAACAGAUGUAAUUUUUCGAGAAUGAAAUCAGUUGAAUUGUUGAUGAAUUCGUGAAUUUGUGUAAUGCAAAAUUUACAAUAAUGGUAAUAGUUGCAGCCUUUUUUGCCUGGAUAAAACUAAUUCCUUGGCGAUUCCCUUUACCUAAUGUUUAAUACGAGUUAUAUGUUCUUUGAAAAUGUUAUUUGCGAAUUUCGUUUAUGAAUUAAAGAAAGAAUCAAAGGAUUUUUGUCAGCUUUUUCUCGUCUUAUCCGUAU
rnacentral:lncRNA from 1 species